rnacentral:rRNA from 1 species
UGGGGAAUUUUGGACAAUGGGCGAAAGCCUGAUCCAGCAAUGCCGCGUGUGUGAAGAAGGCCUUCGGGUUGUAAAGCACUUUUGUCCGGAAAGAAAUCCUUGGCUCUAAUACAGUCGGGGGAUGACGGUACCGGAAGAAUAAGCACCGGCUAACUACGUGCCAGCAGCCGCGGUAAUACGUAGGGUGCAAGCGUUAAUCGGAAUUACUGGGCGUAAAGCGUGCGCAGGCGGUUUGCUAAGACCGAUGUGAAAUCCCCGGGCUCAACCUGGGAACUGCAUUGGUGACUGGCAGGCUAGAGUAUGGCAGAGGGGGGUAGAAUUCCACGUGUAGCAGUGAAAUGCGUAGAGAUGUGGAGGAAUACCGAUGGCGAAGGCAGCCCCCUGGGCCAAUACUGACGCUCAUGCACGAAAGCGUGGGGAGCAAACAGGAUUAGAUACCCUGGUAGUCCACGCCCUAAACGAUGUCAACUAGUUGUCGGGUCUUCAUUGACUUGGUAACGUAGCUAACGCGUGAAGUUGACCGCCUGGGAGUACGGUCGCAAGAUUAAAACUCAAAGGAAUUGAC